rnacentral:lncRNA from 1 species
UCUUUUCUUCCAUGAGGCAUAUUUUUAAAAUCAACUUGAACUUGGAGAGAGUCACAUCCUGUGAUAUCUUCUACUUCUUUUUUAAUGUUCAGAGCUGAAUCCUCAACUGACUUCAUGCAGCCCGUCAAUCUGAUCAACUUCAGUGUUUGGAUAUCUGCGAAGCUAGACGGGAUCUCUUGAAGCUUCUCACAACGACGUAUAACCAGUUUCUCUAGCACGGGGAAGGAUGCCUCUGAGGAGCGCCAUUCGGUCAUAUAAACAACUUUUAAGUUCAAAUAUUUGAGUGCUGGGAACUUGUAAUCACCUACAUCCCAACAUUUGAUAUCUUCAUCCUUGAAGUGUAUUCUACGUAGUUUGAGUCUCUCAAGAUUUUGCAGUCUUGCAAUAUUUGAAACAACUUUUUCUGUUAGGACAAUUCUAUGAAUGGACAAAUCCUUUAGAUUUGAGGGGAAAACAAUACAGCUGCCCCUUCCGAUUCUUACUUGAGGCACGUCUUCUGAGAAGCCCACUUCGAGAGAUUGAAGUGGGAGUUCUCCAAGAUUCAGUUGUAAAAUAGGUAAAAUCGGUUCAACAAUGUGGAGCUUGAGUUGUUCAAUAUUUGGAAAUCUCCACCAGAACUCCGGAGUCAUAUCAGCCAAAUAUAUACAGCAUUUCCCGAAAGACUUCAAGUUCGGUAACACAGUUUGUGAAGAUUCUUCGAAAAUUGCUCGAUCAUUCUCUUCCCAUUUGAAUUCAAUUUCCUUGAUAUCCACAUGCCUUAGCUUCUGCAUUUUCCAAAGACCAGCAGGGGAUAUCUUACGUCCUAAUGACUUAGGCCGCCACCCCACCCGCAAAGUUUGUAGAUCGAGUAAGUGUGAUACCCACCGGAAAUCAAAUUUUUCGGUCCAUAUUGCAAGAUACCUCAAGUGAGUUACUGCUUGCAUUGCCCUAGCCCAAUAACCUACAUCCAAGUAGACCUUCGACAAAUCCAACACCCGAAUAAGUCUAAUGCAAUCAAGUAAAAGGACAUGAUUUGUCAAACUCAGGUCCCAUUUACAGAGUUUUGGAUGAGCAAUGAACUCAAGAGAUCCUACUUCACUCAACUCCGCCAACGUUGGAAUUUUAUUCAAUGAAUAUUCAUGCUCCAUCAACUGCUUGGCCAGAUCGUCAUGAACAUACAUACAUAAUCGAGGUUCCUUUGCACCUAAAGAUUGGUGUGGAUUAUAUGGGAUUAUGACCUGCAUAUACUUUUCUUUUGCAAGUUUUCUCAAGCAAAACUCACGCACUACAUCAUGAAGAGUGCAGUACUUUAUCUCACCAUUGUCUCUCCUUUUAGAAACCAUUACAAGGCUUUUGCUCGCUAGAUCAUUCAAGAAAUUUGUAUAUGCUUCCUCCAAGUUAUCUGUGUCCGAAUUC